ensembl:lncRNA
GCCCCUUAAUGAUGGGAAUCAACCAUAGCCCAGGGGGCAAAUAACCAAGCUGGCCUCUUCCCCUGGCUACCCCACACCUGAAGGAAGUCUAGGUCCAAGUUUCCGCCCAAAGGCAGGCUGGCUGUGAUUGGUCAGGGAGAACAGAAAGAGUGAACUCUUCCCCCAAAAGCUACUGAGGGUUAGGAGGGACCUCUCAGCCCUCAUCGUCAAACCUCCCUCCAAACACAGGAGUGGCCUCAUUUCCAUCCUCACCCUGGUGAGGUCCGGUGUCCACUCACAAACCACCCACAUGAGCCUGCUCCCUCCCUCAGAGGCCCAUCCUUGGACAGUUCUAAAUACUGGUGAGCUCCCCUUUAUUUUGGAAGGAGUCCAUCUCCACGUAGACACACCUCUCCAAAUCCAUGUGUCGUCUGGGAUCCUAGAGAAGAACAAAAACCUUCUCUCAAGUCAUCCCCUUAAUUAUUUAACAUGGGUAACCUUGGACACUGAGUCUUGAGUUCCUUAGACUGAGAGCGUUGUGUUCUUUCAGCUGGUCCCUGUAAGUCACAGUUUCCAAUUCUUUGUCAUCCUGGGCAUUCCCUCCUGAACACACCUUGUGUCUCCUGUGCCAUUUAAAGGGGAUCCAGGCUUGAAAACCACAAUCCAACACAUAGUAGUGUAGAGGUGCCAGCUCCUGCCUUCUAAUCACUGUAUAAUAUCCAGCCUAGAAAGCUUUCAAGCUUUUCCUUGUACAUAUAAUAUGUGUGUGUGUGUGUGUGUGUGUGUGUGUGUGUGUGUGUUGAAAACCUUUAUGUCUUUUCUUCAUGUGCUGCUGACAAGCCAUUCCUCCCUCAUCUUUUACUUGAACAGUUUGCUUCACCUUUCUUGUAUUACGAGUAAAUUAGCAGUUCAGGGCAGCCUGUACAUGCACUACAAGAGGCUUCAUUAGUAGAUUCCCCCCCGCCCCUGCUUCUAGAGUCUUCUCUUCUUUAUACACCUUUUAGAACAAGCCUUAGCCACGAACUGGCCUCUUUGGUACUGUAGACUCACCUGUGAUUAUCUGAGGGGGAAGGAAGAGGGCAAUGAGUGAGGGGGGCCAGAGCCCAGAUGGGGCAGAUCGCCUGUCAUCGGGGCUGCUUGGGGAGCCAACAGAGGCCUCUCUGGCUCCUGGAUUCUAAUAUUCCCAUUGACAAUACACACCAGGCAACAUGGAGCCUAGUAACAUCACAGAAUAAUAGUAGCUGUCAUUUUUGAGCAGUUACCAAUGGCUGGUUUUACAUCAACUAAGGCAUUUAAUCCUGAUAGUAAGUCAGGUAAAAAUUCAACCCACUUCACAGAUGAGAAAAGUGAGGUUUGAAGACAUUGCUAGUCCAACUGGGAUUUGUACAGAGUUCUGUCCGAAUCAAACCUCAAAUCUCAGCCAUUCUACUUGGAACACUGUAAGUGUUCAUUCUGUAGAUGUGACCUCUAUUCCAGGUAGCUAAGCAGCAGAGUGAGACCCUGAGAGACGCAAGCAUGCUGGAGGAACCACAUCAUAGACCCUCUUGGCUUCCCCUUCCCUGCCCCCCCACAUCCAGACUGUGGCAGGUCAUAAAAUCUUUCCUUGGGUCCAGAGGACAGGUAGCAGAUACCCUCCAAGCACAUUCUGUUAGACAUCAUAGAGAAAGAAGAAUGUCCAUCCCUGGCUGCCUCACAGGUUCCAAUGGGACAUGAUCAACAGAUCAAUCACGUGCUAUCGACCCCCUACCAGAUAGUCAGCACCAAGCCAGGCCCUGACCCACAGAGAUGUAUUAGCCUGUCUGGUCCCUGUAGAGCUGUGCUUGGUGGACAAGACUUCCACACCAGGAGUUCCCAUACUGGCUCAGCAGAAACAAAUCUGACUAGUAUCCAUGAUGAUGCAGGUCCAAUCCCUGGCCUCACUCAGUGGGUUAAGGAUCUAGGGUUGCCAUGAGCUGUGGUGUAAUUUGGCAGCUGCAGCUCCCAUUCGACACCUGGUCUGGGACCCUCCAUAUGCUGUGGGUGCAGCCAU